rnacentral:rRNA from 1 species
GACGAACGCUGGCGGCGUGCCUAAUACAUGCAAGUAGAACGCUGAAGCGAGGAGCUUACUCUUCUUGGAUGAGUUGCGAACGGGUGAGUAACGCGUAGGUAACCUGCCUUGUAGCGGGGGAUAACUAUUGGAAACGAUAGCUAAUACCGCAUAACAAUGGAUGACACAUGUCAUUUAUUUGAAAGGGGCAAUUGCUCCACUACAAGAUGGACCUGCGUUGUAUUAGCUAGUAGGUGAGGUAAUGGCUCACCUAGGCGACGAUACAUAGCCGACCUGAGAGGGUGAUCGGCCACACUGGGACUGAGACACGGCCCAGACUCCUACGGGAGGCAGCAGUAGGGAAUCUUCGGCAAUGGGGGCAACCCUGACCGAGCAACGCCGCGUGAGUGAAGAAGGGUUUCGGAUCGUAAAGCUCUGUUGUAAGUCAAGAACGGGUGUGAGAGUGGAAAGUUCACACUGUGACGGUAGCUUACCAGAAAGAGACGGCUAACUACGUG